UAUAUAUAUAUAUAUAUAUAGACAUUUUUGCAGCGGCUCCUUGGUAUCAACUCGAGUUUGACUUCAGUUCCACUGGGGAUACCAAUUUCUGUGAAUGCCCAAGUCCCAUUUUAUACGUAUAAUGUCAAAGUGAAAUGGUGCCCCUUAUAUAAAAUGGCUAAAUUAUGUUUUGUUUUGGGAAUUUUUAUGGAUGUGUUUAUUAUAAUAUUUUGAAUUCUGGGGUGCAGAAUCUAUGAAUGUAAUUGCUUUUAUAGUUCUCAAAAUGUUGCUUCAAGGAAUGAUAGAGAAGGAGGACAAUACAGUUUAAGUUCUUGUUUGUGUCUCAUUCUGCUUCCUUAGUGACCUCUGGUUGAUGCUGAGGUGACAAUGAGGUGGAUAUGUAGAGUGUGUUUUUCAACACUAGGUCAUAGCUUGGAGCAUUUUGAGCAGGGAUGAAUAACUGUACUGAUUUUAGGACUUGUGCUGCAAGCUUCUGGAACAAUGAGAAAAAGUACAUUUCCUACCACUGUUGCACAGUGUUAUUCCUUAUGCAUACUGCAAAUGGUUACUCUGGCUCAGCUUCAAGUAAGUUUCAUGUUAUACAAUUAUGGCACUAUGAUUCCACUUUAACUGCCAUGGAAACACCUUAUGGAAUUCUGGAAUUUCUAGUUUGGUUCUUCACUGGAGUGAGUGCUCUAUCUUAUUAUUCUAAAUGCCCUUCCCUAAACUGCCAAUACCAGGAUGAAACCAUGGCAGUUAAUGUGGAUUCGUAGCUAUAGUAUGAAAGGACUCCAGCAACAGGAGCAAUUAAGGGCGCUCAAUAAUGUCUGGUGAUAUAUGUGUUCGGAGUGCAUCAACAUUUUAAAGAUCAAAGUGUGUGAUCUGCCUUGAGUCCCCAUGGGGAGAAAGACUACUGGGCCAUUCUUACAAUAUGAAGCCAUAUGGGGGCCACUUGAAAUUGCUUCCACGUAGUAUGUGUUUUGUGUUAACUAGCUCAUGAUAAACAUUUUUGGUAAUCACAUGGUGCUCUCUGGAGAAAAGGUACCUUUCAGUGAAGUAAUCUCAAAAUCAGGACUAUGAAAUCAUUUGUAGUUUGAAGGAAGUUUGCAAGGCAUGAUGGCUUCAUCCAUGAGAUGAUUGAAACUUGGGAUGACUGGAAAUCCUGUGGAAGCAUAUUCUGAAAUUGCACAUCUUCCAUUAGCCCAACAGGACUAGAACUUGUUAAAAUGCCUCCAGUCUUAGCCUUAUUUCAAAGAUCUCCAAUGACAUCCAUGUGCAGAAGGCCCUGGUGGCAUCAGAUUACAGUCAUUAGCAUCUUUCUCAAUUCAGUCACAUCAGAAAUGAAGACACUACCCGGAUUCUGAAAUGCACAGUAGCUUCAAAUUAAUGGUAUGCUUCACAUUUUUGGGAAUGCUUUGGUCUUCUUUGCUGAUGCGUGGCACUAAUUUUCAAGAAGUGUAAUUGUUUACUAGUGGGAGUCACAGUUUCUUUUUAAACUUCAUUCAAUUAUGAACGUUCAUUCCUUACUUACUGUACAAAGCAGUGCUGUUGUUGUUUUUCCGGCACCACUGACAUCUAUUCCUUUAAAGUUCAUUUGUCAUGCAAUCUAAGCCUGCUCUUCUUUUCUGUGCAUGCAAAAAGAAAGGAAAGUCAUCAGGAGAAAAAUAAAAGUGCUGUUUGUUUCUA